UAUAUAAAGGCAACAGUAGUAUACCGCUGUUCAAACUCAUAAAUCCAUGGACAAAAAAACAAAAUCGGGGUAACAAACUAAAACUGACGGAAACGCAUAAAUAUAGAGGAGACAACGACACAACACUACAAUGUAACUAACACACACAGAAACGGACCAAGCAUCAGACAAAAUCCCACGAAAAUAACAAAUAUAACAUUAAAACCAAAUACAUGAAUUUUGGAUAGACAAGUACCGUGACACGUCUUAUCGCAAUGUCAAUUUACACUCAAAAAUAAGAGAAAACAAACGACGCAACGUUCAACUGUAACACC
rnacentral:lncRNA from 1 species